rnacentral:rRNA from 1 species
UACAGAGGAGCCAAGCGUUGUCCGGAUUGACUGGGCGUAAAGCGCACGCAGGCGGAUGUGCGCGUGGGGUGUGAAAUCUGGCCGCUUAACGGCCAGGCGCCAUCCCAUACGGCACGUCUGGAGGGCUGCAGAGGUCGAUGGAAUUGCCGGUGUAGUGGUGAAAUGCGUAGAGAUCGGCAGGAACACCAGUGGCGAAGGCGACUACCUGGCCUGUUCUUGACGCUGAGGCGCGAAAGCUAGGGGAGCAAACGGG